AUGAGGAUCCAAUUCCAACCAAAGCAAUCUAACGGGGAAGGGAGACGGUGGAGAUGCAGAGGCCCAGGCCACGAUGCGCACCUUGGCCUCCUCGAUCAGAUAGUCAAUACUCCCUGUCGCCUCCGCUCCAUGGCUCGGCCACUCAUCACAAGUGGUGGAGGAAGAUGCCCACAGUGGUCAGCCCGUCCUGGCUGUGCAAGCGGCCCCGGAUCCGGGAGUGGUCCAACCUGUGCAUGGCGCUGCUACUCCUUUCCGCCGGGUUGUGGAUCCCAGCGGCAUCAAGGUAGGAGAAGAGCUAUGCACAACCGCGUCGCUCGUGAUGAUACAUGA
rnacentral:rRNA from 1 species